rnacentral:lncRNA from 1 species
GGGCCAUGUGGAGUUUGUUACGGAGAGUGGUGUCUGUUGUCGUGACUUGCCAGAGAGUGAAGCAGGGUAGCGGCCCUCGUUGUGGCUUGUCAGAGAGUGGUGGAGCCACAUGGAAUCCAUUACAGAGAGUGGAGCAGGGUAGCGGCCCUCGUCGUGGCUUGCCAAAGAGUGGUGGAGCCACAUGGAAUCUAUUAUAGGGAGUGGAGUAGGGUAGCAGCCCUCGUCGUGGCUUGCCAAAG